rnacentral:rRNA from 1 species
UACGUAUGGUGCGAACGUUGUUCGGAAUCACUGGGCAUAAAGAGCACGUAGGCGGUUAAGCAAGUCCAUUGUGAAAUCCCCCGGCCUAACCGGGGAACUGCAUUGGAUACUACUUGACUUGAGUGCAGGAGGGGAGAGUGGAAUUCCAGGUGGAGCGGUGAAAUGCGUAGAUAUCUGGAGGAACGCCGGCGGCGAAAGCGACUCUCUGGUCUGUAACUGACGCUGAGGUGCGAAAGCCAGGGGAGCAAACGGG